rnacentral:rRNA from 1 species
UAUCUCUGUAGAGUCUGCAUAUCAAUAAGCGGAGGAAAAGAAACUAACAAGGAUUCCCUUAGUAACGGCGAGUGAAGCGGGAAGAGCUCAAAUUUGAAAUCUUCAAGGUUUUACCUUGACGAAUUGUAGUUUAAAGAAGUGUUUUCUGUUGAAGUUUCGGUAAAAGUUCUUUGGAAUAGGACAUCAUAGAGGGUGAGAAUCCCGUAUUUGACCGUUAUUAUUCUAGCUGUGUGAUACACCUUUCAAAGAGUCGGAUUGUUUGGGAAUGCAGUCCAAAAUGGGUGGUAAAUUUCAUCUAAAGCUAAAUAUUGGCGAGAGACCGAUAGCGAACAAGUACCGUGAGGGAAAGAUGAAAAGAACUUUGAAAAGAGAGUUAAACAGUACGUGAAAUUGUCAAAAGGGAAGCGUUUGACACCAGUGUUGUUUUUCUCGAAAAUCAAUUAGAAAUGGCUUGAUUUUGUGUUGUAUUGACCUUAAAAGCUUUCUUCACUUUUUUCAUGUCUUUUUUAAUGCACUUUUCGUUUAACAAGUCAACAUCAGUUUCUUUUGUUGUAAAAAGGUCAUUGGAAGGUGGCUUUCUUUUCGGAGAAAGUGUUUAUAGCCUUUGACUCCUGCAAUCGGAGAGACUGAGGUCUGCAGCGUAGAUCCUUCUGGAUUAGAUUCAUUUGUGCUAAGUUACAACCGUUUAUAGACAACUUGUUGACUAUAUUCGAUCCUGUAGCUUACUCGCUUAUGUAAUUUUACCUACGCUUAGGAUGUUGACUGAUAUGUAGUCGUA